GCCACUGUAGUGUAGUGAUUUGAGUGUUGGACUAUGACUCCGGAGAACAGGGUUCGAAUCCCGAUUUGGCC